rnacentral:lncRNA from 1 species
UGCAUCUUGAUGGCAGUGCAUUUGAGGAAAAGAAUAAAAGAAAAAAGAAUCAUAUCAAUUCAAAUUUCAAAAUAUGCAGAGAUAAAUCGGGAGAAAUCUAAAGGCAAAAAAUAUACAAUAAUGUAAAAUAUUUAAAUAUAGCUAGAGUCUAGUAAAUUUUAAAUUGAAAUAAGUUUAUUUUAAAAAAUAAAAAUAAAAUUUUAAGCAAUAGUAUUUCCCUAUAAUUUCCCCUUGCAAAAAUAACAAGCAAAUCAACAAUUCACUUAGUCUUGUCCAAAGCUGACGCUACAAAGCUUAAAAAUUAAAAAAAGAAAAAGAAUUAGAGCUUAUUGGUAAGGUGUUGGGCGAGAAAUUGUGGAGAAAAAAAAAAGAAAAAUUUUGAGUCUGAAUAGUGGAGACAAGAGAGGGCUGCCGCAGCUGAAAGAUGAGAGGAAAGAAAGAG